UACGGAGGGGGCUAGCGUUGUUCGGAAUUACUGGGCGUAAAGCGCACGUAGGCGGCUUUGCAAGUUAGAGGUGAAAGCCCAGGGCUUAACCCUGGAAUUGCCUUUAAAACUGCAUCGCUAGAAUUGUGGAGAGGUGAGUGGAAUUCCGAGUGUAGAGGUGAAAUUCGUAGAUAUUCGGAAGAACACCAGUGGCGAAGGCGACUCACUGGACACAUAUUGACGCUGAGGUGCGAAAGCGUGGGGAGCAAACAGG
rnacentral:rRNA from 1 species